CCUACGGGGAGCAGCAGUGGGGAAUAUUGCACAAUGGGGGAAACCCUGAUGCAGCGACGCCGCGUGAGUGAAGAAGUAUUUCGGUACGUAAAGCUCUAUCAGCAGGGAAGAAAAUGACGGUACCUGACUAAGAAGCCCCGGCUAACUACGUGCCAGCAGCCGCGGUAAUACGUAGGGGGCAAGCGUUAUCCGGAUUUACUGGGGGUAAAGGGAGCGUAGACGGCAGCGCAAGUCUGGAGUGAAAUCCCAUGGCUUAACCAUGGAACUGCUUUGGAAACUGUGCAGCUAGAGUGCAGGAGAGGUAAGCGGAAUUCCUAGUGUAGCGGUGAAAUGCGUAGAUAUUAGGAGGAACACCAGUGGCGAAGGCGGCUUACUGGACUGUAACUGACGUUGAGGCUCGAAAGCGUGGGGAGCAAACAGGAUUAGAUACCCUUGUAGUC
rnacentral:rRNA from 1 species